rnacentral:rRNA from 1 species
UGAUGGGCGUCGACCGGCGCACGGGUGAGUAACGCGUAUCCAACCUGCCCAUCACUUGGGAAUAACCUUGCGAAAGUAAGAAUAAUACCCAAUGAUAUCUCACGAAGGCAUCGGAAUGGGAUUAAAGAUUUAUCGGUGAUGGAUGGGGAUGCGUCUGAUUAGCUUGUUGGCGGGGUAACGGCCCACCAAGGCAACGAUCAGUAGGGGUUGUGAGAGGAAGGUCCCCCACAUUGGAAUUGAGACACGGUCCAAACUCCUACGGGAGGCAGCAGUGAGGAAUAUUGGUCAAUGGGCGAGAGCCUGAACCAGCCAAGUAGCGUGCAGGAUGACGGCCCUAUGGGUUGUAAAAUGCUUUUAUAAGGGAAUAAAGUGGGUCACGUGUGACUUUUUGCAUGUACCUUAUGAAUAAGGACCGGCUAAUUCCGUGCCAGCAGCCGCGGUAAUACGGAAGGUCCGGGCGUUAUCCGGAUUUAUUGGGUUUAAAGGGAGCGUAGGCCGGAGAUUAAGUGUGUUGUGAAAUGUAGAGGCUCAACAUCUGCACUGCAGCGUGAACUGGUUUUCUUGAGUACGCACAACGUGGGCGGAAUUCGUGGUGUAGCGGUGAAAUGCUUAGAUAUCACGAAGAACUCCGAUUGUGAAGGCAGCUCACGGGAGCGCAACUGACGCUGAAGCUAGAAAGUGCGGGUAUCGAACAGGAUUAGAUACCCUGGUAGUCCGCACGGUAAACGAUGGAUGCCCGCUGUUGGCCUGAAUAGGUCAGCGGCCAAGCGAAAGCAUUAAGCAUCCCACCUGGGGAGUACGCCGGCAACGGUCCA